CCGCAGUAGCUCAGCGGUAGAGCUAUCGGCUGUUAACCGAUCGGUCGUAGGUUCGAUUCCUACCUGCGG
rnacentral:tRNA from 1 species